GUCCACGCCGUAAACGUUGAGUAUUAAGUGUCGGGUGUAAACUCGGUGCUGUAGUUAACACAUUAAAUACUCCGCCUGGGGAGUACGGUCGCAAGACUGAAACUCAAAGGAAUUGACGGGGACUAGCACAAGCGGUGGAGCAUGCGGUUUAAUUCGAUGCAACGCGAAAAACCUUACCAGGCCUUGACAUCCCACUGACCGAUCUAGAGAUAGGUCUUCCCUUCGGGGUAGUGGAGACAGGUGGUGCAUGGUUGUCGU
rnacentral:rRNA from 1 species